UACGAAGGGUGCAAGCGUUAAUCGGAAUUACUGGGCGUAAAGGGCGCGUAGGCGGUUUUUUAAGUCAGAUGUGUAAUCCCCGAGCUCAACUUGGGAACUGCAUCUGAGACUGGAAGGCUAGAGUACUGGAGAGGGUGGUGGAAUUCCUAGUGUAGCGGUGAAAUGCGUAGAUAUUAGGAGGAACGACCACGUGGUCGGAA
rnacentral:rRNA from 1 species